AUCUACGGCCGCGCCACCCUCAACGAGCCCGAUCCCGUCUGAUCUCGGACGCUAAGCAGGAUCAGGCCUGGUUAGGACUCGGGUGGGAGACCACCCAGGAAGACCAGGUGCUGUAGGCG
rnacentral:rRNA from 1 species